CAGUAGCCGCGGGAAUACGUAGGGUGCAAGCGUUAAUCGGAAUUACUGGGCGUAAAGCGUGCGCAGGCGGUUUGUUAAGACAGAUGUGAAAUCCCCGGGCUUAACCUGGGGACUGCAUUUGUGACUGGCAAGCUAGAGUAUGGCAGAGGGGGGUGGAAUUCCGCGUGUAGCAGUGAAAUGCGUAGAUAUGCGGAGGAACACCGAUGGCGAAGGCAGCCCCCUGGGCCAAUACUGACGCUCAUGCACGAAAGCGUGGGGAGCAAACAGGAUUAGAUACCCCCGUAGUCCCUGUCUCUUAUAC
rnacentral:rRNA from 1 species